CAGAACUGUAGACAUGUACUCUGUUAUCUUCUCUUCAUACUUCAGAAUUCUUGAGCCUUACGGCGGAGCAGAACAGAUACGCAGAAGUGAAGGAGGUAAAGAAGUAUUUAAGAAAGAAAGAGACGAAUAAGAGAGUGAGCGAAGGUUAAGCAUGGCGUCUUCGUCUGCCAACUUAUGGGCGUUAAUGGGAUUGGGAUUGGGUUUGGCCGGAAUCAUACUCAUGAACCAGAAAAUUGAAGGAAGUAGUCGAAGAGGAUUUUGGAGCUUUUGUCGAGAGGUUUCAGCUUCUUCCCCCUCCUCAGCCUGCACCGCCCAAAGCUCCCCACACCUCGACGGGUCUCUCAUUUGCCGUCUCAGAUGUGUUCAACUGCUGAUUGGAAUUUGGGACCAUCCAUUGCUUUUGUGGUUGUGUGAUCCAUACGAAUAGGAGCUACUUGCAAGAAUUUGUAUUUAACAGAAAGAUUUGAUAUUGAUGGAUACAUUACGGGAUUUGGCAAUCCAGACUGGAUCAGAACACAUGGGGCUGCUGCUCAAACAUCUCCUGCAGUUUCAGCAGUCAUUGGAGGAGGCGCCAGCUGUGUUGGGAAAACUGUUGUGGAUGAAAUGGCAUAUUGUGUCAAUGGAGAAAACAAACAUUAUGGUACUCCACCAGUCCUAUAGCUCCUACACGAGUACCAGGAGGAUCUUCCAGUGGAUCUGCUGUAGCUGUUGCUUCCAAACUUGUUGAAUUUUCUCUUGGUGAGCUUCUAAACAUUUCUUUUAUUUGAAUUCUCUUUUAGUUUAAUAUAUGCUACAGAUAAGUGGUCCUGCUGUGAGCAAUAGAUUUGUUUGGUUCUCCUAUUUGUAUUUUGAUAGAUGGUCCAUAUGGUUUCUCCUAUGUAUAUCCCUCCCCCAAAAGGAAAAGUCUCUCUUUAAGUUAUUUAUGUUAUUUGUCAUGUUUACUUACAACAACCACAACUUAGCCUUUUCCCAACCAUGGAUCUGUCAGAAAAGAGGAAAAGAAAGAAGAGGCAAUGUAACACCACCGGGCCAUCCCACUUAAACGCAAUCGGCAACAUGAAUCUUUGCCCUCCAAAUAGCUCUGUGAUGUAGAUAUGCACCCAUGGAGCAGCCCAUACCCAUUUGGGUAUCUAGCGAGUGAUGAACCAGACCCAUAUUGAGUCUUUGACCAGUAGGAUCUUUUAGGAUUUUAUUUUAUUCUCCUGCAAUCUUUUAUUUUGGUAACUUAGGUAGGAGAUAACUACUAGGAUUUAGUUUCCAAUUUAGUGUAGGUUUCCUUUUAAUGUUGGUUUUCUUUUACUAUUUAAACGCAUGUAAUGUUCAAUUAGAGAACGGAGAAUAAAAUGAUGAAUUGAGUUUUGAGUGUUGAGAGCC